UACGAAGGGGGCUAGCGUUGCUCGGAAUCACUGGGCGUAAAGCGCACGUAGGCGGCUCUUUAAGUCAGGGGUGAAAUCCUGGAGCUCAACUCCAGAACUGCCUUUGAUACUGAAGAUCUUGAGUUCGGGAGAGGUGAGUGGAACUGCGAGUGUAGAGGUGAAAUUCGUAGAUAUUCGCAAGAACACCAGUGGCGAAGGCGACUCACUGGCCCGAUACUGACGCUGAGGCACGAAAGCGUGGGGAGCAAACAGG
rnacentral:rRNA from 1 species